rnacentral:misc_RNA from 1 species
AAGUUGUAACAAGGUAACCGUAGGUGAACCUGCGGUUGGAUCAUUAAAAAAUAUUAUGGGUGGACCUUUUCGGCAUGCGCGAUUCACUCAUGUUUGCGGUCCACCUUAUACCCACGGGCCAGCCAAAACUGGCCCGUGAGUAUAAAACACAUUUUGUGCACCGAAAACCGUCCCUGGCGGGCGGGCAGUGCAAGCUGCUUGUCAACCAUGAUUCAUCAUGGGUGUGGACAACCCGCCAAACACUUCUUUACCUAUGUCUCUUGUUAAUUUGUCUGACAUUACUUGUACAAAAAAUACAAAACAACUUUUGGCAACGGAUCUCUUGGCUCUC